rnacentral:tRNA from 1 species
AGGGGUAUCAUCCAGCGGCAGGAUGACAGUCUCCAAAACUGUUCACCUAGGUUCGAAUCCUAGUACCCCUG